CCACUUUGAACUAUUCAAAUCUAACUCAAUCCGCUCAUUUGACACCCUAUUAAUAUCAUUUUACUUUGUUGUAACUUAUAAUUUUAGUUCCUCCCACCUUAUUAUAAUCAUUAGAAAGGGUUAGUUGGGACGUGAAGUUUCAAGAGUGUUAUUUGAUUAAUUAAUGUCUUCUUUCUUCUGAUGGACAGUUUCUACUUAAUUUAAGCACCAAUUAUUGUUUAUUUGUUCUAAUUGGAGUAAUUAAUUAACUGGCAUCUUUAGAGUGAACUGUUAAUGGAGAAGUGAGGUCCGACUCGUUCUCAUAGCCAUAUAAGUAAUAAAGAGUUGAUUCUCCAAUUUAUAAAAGAAAAAAAAAACUAAAGGAAAAAAAGACUGUUGAUGGAGAGUCGCAUUAACCACUGAAUAAAACAUGAUAAAUGACUAAUUAAAUGACAUUAAUAACAAAGAGAUUACGCCCAACAUCACCCAAUUGUUGGUUACAGAAUGGCUAGUGAGGGCUCGUUGACCUUCCCUCCGGGAGUAUUGUUCUUUUGUAACUUUCUCAAACAAGUUGGUGUAUGGUCUGCCAUUGAGCUCUUUCCAGCUGUUCAUUGAGCCACGUCCAUCAUCUUUCCGUAUGUCACGAUCUGAUAUGCCCACGUGAAAUUGGCUAUUUUUACCCUAUACUGAAAGUCCCCACGUUUUAGGGACUUAAACUUUAUCUUUCAGGUAAUGAAGAAGUGAGGAUAGCCAAUGACCAUAUAAAAGAUCCAAUUUCUCUUCCCAGAGCCAACGUGGAACUCAACACCCCAGAACAUCCAGGAUUGGACAUUUGGAGUAUGGAUAACAUAUGAUGUGCGCCAAACAUAAGGCAAAUAAUGAAUUGAGAAGGGCCUAGACCUUGGGUCUAACUUGACUAGGCAGCUACUUCAAGAGGUAGAAAAUGAAGAAUCUGCAGCUGGAAACACUCCGUCACAUGAUAGGAACAUACCUACCUGGAAGAAGUUGGGACGUGCAGUUUUAAGAGUGGUAUUCUAUUAAUUAAUGUCUUCUUUCUUCUCAUGAGCAGUUUUUACUUAAUUUUAUUUUUAAAAAAAACAAUUAUCGUUUAUUUGUUCUGAUUGGAGUAACGGGCAUCUUUAGAGUUGACAAUAAAUGGACACACACUAUUAGGUGACACGUGGGGAUUGAAGCCAGGUCAAACAUGACUCAGCAAAGAUAAUACCUGUCUCAACAUUAGAGCUCGUACAGUAAAGUGGUUCCCGUCCUUCCAGGGGCAGAACCAACAUUAUUGGCAGUUUGGCAUGCCAAGCUUCAGAGAUGCAAAACCGGGUACAUAUAUAGCAGUGGCCGGUCGAUAUAAGCCCGAAAGUGCAUCUGUUGGGGAUCCACUUCGGCAGUUACUUAGUCAAAACAUAACUGCUGUAGUGUGUAGAUAUGUGGCAUGAAGAGGAGCGAAGAUACGGAAAAAUGUUAUCUGCAAUUUGGCUUUAAAUAGACCUCUUU
rnacentral:lncRNA from 1 species